rnacentral:rRNA from 1 species
UACGGGGGGGGCAAGCGUUGUUCGGAAUUACUGGGCGUAAAGGGCGCGUAGGCGGUCAGACCAAGUCGAGUGUGAAAUUCCAGGGCUUAACUCUGGCACGCUCGCUCGAUACUGGUCGGCUAGAGUGUGGAAGAGGAUGCUGGAAUUCCUGGUGUAGCGGUGAAAUGCGCAGAUAUCAGGAGGAACACCCGUAGCGAAGGCGGCACUCUGGGCCGAUUCUGACACUGAGGAGCGAAAGCGUGGGGAGCGUACAGG